CCCUUCGUGGUGUAGUGGUCAGCACGCUCGACGCGUAACCGAGAGGUACGUGGUUCGAAUCCCGGCGAGAGCA
rnacentral:tRNA from 1 species